rnacentral:rRNA from 1 species
UACAGAGGGGGCAAGCGUUGUUCGGAAUUACUGGGCGUAAAGGGCGCGUAGGCGGUCGGGCAAGUCCUGUGUGAAAUCCCUCGGCUCAACUGAGGAACUGCACGAGAAACUGCUCGACUUGAGUUCGGGAGAGGGAAGCGGAAUUCCGGGUGUAGCGGUGAAAUGCGUAGAUAUCCGGAGGAAUACCGGUGGCGAAGGCGGCAUCCUGGACCUAACUGACACUGAGAGACGAAAGCCAGGGGAGCAAACGGG